CCUACGGGAGGCAGCAGUGAGGAAUAUUGGUCAAUGUCCGGAAGGCUGAACCAGCCAUGCCUCGUGAAUGUCAGUGCCCUAUGGGCGUUAAACUUCUUUUGUGCGGGAGCAAUAAUGGUCACGUGUGGCCAGACGAGAGUACCGUACGAAUAAGCAUCGGCUAACUCCGUGCCAGCAGCCGCGGUAAUACGGGGGAUGCAAGCGUUAUCCGGAGUUAUUGGGUUGAAAGGGGUCGUAGGCUGGUCGGUAAGUCAGCGGGGAAAUGCCCCCGCUCAACGGGGUGAAGUGCCAUUGAUACUGCCUUGCUGGAAUGCGGAUGCCGUGGGAGGAAUGUGUGGUGUAGCGGUGAAAUGCAUAGAUAUCACACAGAACACCGAUUGCGAAGGCAUCUCACGAAUCCGCGAUUGACGCUGAUGCACGAAAGCGUGGGUAUCAAACAGGAUUAGAUACCCCAGUAGUC
rnacentral:rRNA from 1 species